UUAUUCCUUUUAUUUCCAAAUUAAUUUCUCUCUCAUUUUUAAACAUUUUUAUCCAAAUUUUUUACACAAAGUCUCUAAAAAUAUUUUGAAUCACAUAUAUUUUUUUCAUAAUUUUAAAAAUCAUUUUUACAUUUAUUAAUAUUUUAUUUCUUUUUUAUUUUUUAAUUUUAAUUUUCAAUUUUAUUUUUGAUCAUUUUCAAAUAUUUUGAGAUCCAACUUUUGAGACUUACUUGUAUUUUUUCUUGACUUUCUCUAAUUUUUU
rnacentral:lncRNA from 1 species